AUGAGGAAUGAUCCAAAGUUAAGUACCACCAGGUAUUGCUGGAGGCGAGUUCACUGGGGAUACCUGGGACCCAGCCUAGGUCAGUCAGGCACAAAGCUGCUGGAUGAUGCACCGGCUUUGCCUAUGGCACAGUUCUGCCCACCUGAUGCCACCAAAUGCACGGUUGGCCAACAAUACGGGAAAUCUACCCUCCUGGGUGAGAAACAGCUCGGCUUGUUCUUUCUUCCGCCUUGCUUGAAGAUGACACUGUUCUUCCAGACUUUGGAGACAGAGUUGUCUGAAAGCAGAAGCUUAAAAGAAAACAUCAUUUUCAUCCUGGUAGACUCUUGGGACUUCUUCCCUUCUUAUUCAAUUUCAGUCCAUGACCGAAAGGCCCUGCUGCUUUGGCCUGAGGUGAGACAGCACACCAUAGCAGGAAUAUGUGAAGGAGAAAGAACCCUCACCUCAUGGCUCGGAUGCAAGGAAAAGAAGCCACUGUCCACAGUCCCAGUUGAUGGUAUGUUGCUAGUGUCCUAAAACCUUGAACUAGGCUCUGCCUCUCAAAGUUUCUACUACUUCCCACUGUGCCAAACCAGGGAGCAAACCUAUAACACGUGGUCUUUCAGAGAACAGUCUGGACCUAAGCUGUGUCUACUAAGUCUUUGGCUAUCACUGCUUGAAUUCCCUUUUAAUGAGAACAUUUUAUUACUGAGCCAAAAAGUACGUGCAAGGAGUUCUGUCCUCAAACAUUACUAGGUAUUGCAAACAUGUCCCCCUCUCACACAAAAAAAGAAGAAUUCAGAGAUGGAUGGGGGGGGAGGAGGAAAAAAGAUUUAAGAUGUGUUGUGUACAGAUAUCAAUUCUCCACAAGGAAUGUAAACUUUUCGUAUUGCAAAUAUGCACAAAUAAAAAAAGUUACAAAGUAAACUAAAAGGUUAUGGCAUAAAGUAAGCUCCCAAAAGACGCCAUGGUUCAGUAGACAGACAAAGCAAACAACUUUAAAAAACUCAGCCCGCACUUAAGUGACAUACAUUCCAUGUGGCUUAGGGAGUUAAAGUUUACAUGUGAGCAUAUGCUCAGCACAUGUGAAGCCCCUGAGCCCCAGCCCCAUGUUAAAAAAAGAAGGAAAGAAUUUUAAACAUGAACUAUAAAGCAAAUGAACAUGUAAAUGAAUAGAAGAAAAUAUACAGAAACAUUAUGUGGUAUUUGAAUUAGAAGAUCACCUAAAUAAUUAUAUAGAAUAGAAAAUAGGCAAAAGAUAAAAGUCUACAAAGACAAAAAUACAACUAACUGAUAAAUGUAUGAUGGAUUAUUCAGCAUCUCAAAAAAGUCAAAUGAGUACACACUAAAUCUAUGGAGAUGUUUGUUAUGUGCUCGAUUUGGAAGUCUUAUAUGAUGGUGGUAGAAGUAAAAAAUUUCUGGAGAUAAUUUGGAUUUGUUCACUAAAGGCCAUAGUAAUGCUUAUUUCAUUGAGGUUAAUAAGAAAUGUGCUGGACUUAUAUGAAGAAUGUGAA
rnacentral:lncRNA from 1 species